CUCAAGCGUGUGGCUGCUUAUUUUAGAGGAAAGCUAUGAGUGAUGAGAAAUUGUUUUCCCAGCUCAACAGAACUUUUUAGUGACCAAAUAACGUAGCUGUUCUUUCAAAAGAGUCACGAAGUUAAUCAGGUGACUCUAGUUCCCCUUCUACCACUCACGUGCUGUGUGAUCUUGGCAAGUCAUUUAACCUGACAGGUCUUCAGCUGCCUCACAUAAAAUGGCAGAACACAGGCUAAGGCUGGAGGUCCAUGCAGGCAGUGGUAAAGUGCAUUUUAUCACAGUGUGUCCAGGAGACAUUUGAUGGAGCAGAACCCAGCUCUCUGCAUCUGAGCCGGAUCUCCUUGCCAGAGCUCUGCAAGAAUGAUUUUUUGUUUCCGCCCCCACGUUGGCAAGAGAGUCUCAGGCAUCUGAAUGCAGCAGGAUAGGACACAUCUUGUAAAGGUCUAACUAUUUAAAAUUUGAGAUUGUCCCAUGGUGCUGAGGGAUGAAUUGCAAUCUUUAUGAAGCUGUGGGCAGCGUGAGUCACUCAGUGAUUGAGCAAGCCACAUCUGCUGCUCAGUCUGUCUGUACUCUGAUCAGCACCUCACUCAGUGCUGCUUUUUCUGGAUCAGCCAGCCAUUGACUGAGCAGAGAGUUACAGAAUCUCACAGUCUGCAAGACCAACUGGCAUGGGAUUAAGAGUAUGGUUUUAAGAUGCCUGCGUUUGAAAUGCUACUGCCAUUCACUAGUGACUUUCUACACCUCUUAGGGCCUCACUUUUCUUCACUGGUAAAGUAGGAGUGAUAUUAGUGGGAACUUGUUAGGGUUAUUAUGAGGAUUCAGUGAGAUAAGUAUUUGAAACUUUCAGCAGAGUGACUAGGACUUAGUGUAUGCUCCUUAAAAGUUAAUUGUUCAUGUCUUUAUCAUUGUUGAGGCCUCAGGGCUAGGUCUUGAGUGAGUAAGUACCAGAGCUGAGUCUGGGAUCUCUUUAGCUGGGCUAGGUCAUUCCUUAUAGAUCUAAGAGGCAAUGAGGUGCCAACUGUUCUUGCCCCAGCCAUUUGGUCUCCUCAUGGAAGUCCCAGACAUCAUGGAGUAGACAAGAGCUGCCCCACUGUGUCCUUUCCAAAUUCCUGACCCACAGAAGCCAUGAGCAUAAUAAAAUGGUUGUCAUUUUAUGCCACUGAAUUUAGAGUAGUUUGUUAUGCAGCAAAGAUAAUUGGAACAAAGAAUCACAAUUUGACCACCAUAGUUUGGAGAUUAUUUAGGCCUAAAGAGGUUAGAUAAUCAUUUUAUUCAAACAAGGACUUAAUGGUAGAAUCAUUCUUAAGCACUGGGUUUCAGGCUUGAAGCUGCAUGCACUAUUCAUUACAUCAUGUACCUUCUUAUCUCUUGAUGUCAGCUCUACAUGUUUGUAUAGUUAAAACUUGACUUCAGGCCUCUGUUCUCAAGUCAUACACAUUCUAAGAAGUACUCUGUUCAUAUAGUAAGCCAUGAGGAAAUGAAUUACUUAUAAGCCUAGCAGAUAGGAGUCUAUUCCAGACUUUAGCUAGUGAGAGAUAUUGGGAGCUCUUAGAGAAGAGACAGAGACAAAGAAAUGGAAAUGGAGAGGAGGUGAGACCGUCUGCUGAGGUUGGAGCUUUGCAGAGGAGGAAGUGGAAGCAGCACAGCAGGAGAAAAUGAUGAGGCACUGGUGGAAAAGAAGGGUGGAAAUUGCUUCAGCUCUAUUGAGGCAAACAACUGUGUGCUGACAAGAAGAAGGUUGACGAGCGGCUUUAGCCAGUCUCUUACUGUCUGCAGCUAAAGGGGAAGAGAGAGGGUGGCUGCAUAUGGAGCAAGGCGCACAGGGAGUCAGCAUGAGAGGAGGGAGAAAGCUGCAGAGGGAGGGGAGCAACUCAGGAAGUCUAUGGAAGCAGCAGGGUGAGCUCUACUGAGCAGAGAGAUGGGGAGCCCAGCAAAGAAGCAGGGGAGCACUUGGCCCUAACUGCCCAAAAAAAAUAGGGUAAAUUGGAGACAGUGGGAGAUGAUGAGGAGAAUAAAAUAAAAGAACAAACAAAAAGUUCAAAGAGAACAUUUGGGAUGAAAGUUAAAGCAGUAUAGAGUAUCUGGAAGAGAUGGAAAAAAAUGGGGAUUAAAACAUAUUUUGGGUGAAAAUAGUGAGUUGAUUCAAUUUUUGAUAAAAGAAAAUAGUUUGGAUGAGAGUUUGAGUGGCAUGAUAUAUUUUGAAUGACCCACUUACAAAGGCCAUAGUGUUUUUCUACAAUAUUCCUGAAAGUGAAGUUUAAUAUGUCAUUUUAUUAUAGGAGAAAUUACACGUAUAUAAAUUUUAAAAAUGGAUCGGCUUGGAAUUGUAUUUUCUUGGAUUACUAGUGGAAAGAAAUAGCAUUAAAGAAUAAAAGCCUAUAAUUGUAAUAGAGCAACAAAAAUUCAAUAAGAGAGUGCUCAUUGUCUAACCAAUGCCUGUAUUUGAGACCAAAGAACACCAGAAACACAAGGGGUAAUUUAUCUAGCUCAUAUGGAAGAUCUUUCCCAUAUCUGGCCUUUAUAUUUUGACUUGUUAGUGUAUUAAAUCUGAAAUAUGAAUGCAGAAGAUGAUGAUGCUUCCUGUGUGCCAGGCACUGUCCUAAGCGUUUUACACAUAUUGACUAAUUUAACCCCUCAACAAUCACUUGGGGUUAGUUAGAUGUCUUUGAUUAUGUCCUUUUUGUGGAUAAAGAUACUGAGGCACAGUUCUCUUUUUUUUUUCUUCCUCAUAGCCACCUCUAUUUCUAAGUCAUUGGGAAAGAUUAGAAAGAAAACAUUAAGUGUGAUAAGUAGUAAAAAGCAGUUGUCUGUAAGGUCCUGGUCAUCCUCGGAACCUUGUCAGCCCCACUCACUGAGGCUCUGCUCAGGAGUAAAUCGCAUGUCUUCAUGUCCCACCCUCCUAAUGUAUUUGUUUAUUAAAGGAAUGAUUGGUAUCAUUAAUGGAAUGUUUUUUAUCUCUGCUUGUGGGAGAGCAGAAUGUUAUAAGGCCACCUAAGGAUGGGGUUUUAUUCUUAGUGGCUGUCUGAUAUAAAGGAAAGAAUAGGAACUCUGGAGUUAGACAGGCCUCUGACUUUGUAUCUUGGCUCUACUUCUUAUCAUUCGUUUGAUUUUGGAUAAUUUAUUUAUCAUUGUUUUAUUCACUUGUAAAAUCGGGAUAAUACCAUCCACUUUGCAGGGUCAUUGUGAAGAUUAAAUGAAAUGAGAGCUGUUCAGUGCCUGGGAAAGUGCUUGAGAAUUAGUAGAGGUUCAAAAUGUGUUACUUCUGGUUUUUUAUAGACCUGAUAAUUGGUGAUUGCAGAUAUUUGAUAUUAAUUAAAUCAAAUGCUGAUAAAGCCUGUGUAGGUGAGGCUGAAAACUUCAUAUUUUCAUAAGCGCUCGGAUUAUAUGUCUUCAUUAUGAAAUCAUCACUGGAUGAAAAGGUAG
rnacentral:lncRNA from 1 species